rnacentral:rRNA from 1 species
UACGUAGGGGGCAAGCGUUGUCCGGAUUUAUUGGGCGUAAAGAGCGUGUAGGCGGCCAUGCAGGUCCGUUGUGAAAACUCGAGGCUCAACCUCGAGACGCCGAUGGAAACCGCAUGGCUAGAGUCCGGAAGAGGAGAGUGGAAUUCCUGGUGUAGCGGUGAAAUGCGCAGAUAUCAGGAAGAACACCUAUGGCGAAGGCAGCUCUCUGGGACGGUACUGACGCUGAGACGCGAAAGCGUGGGGAGCGAACAGG